GGAAAACCCCAACUUAGUAAUGAUGGAAUGUAAGAGGGAGCAGAACUCUUGAGUAAGCCUUGUUAAGAAAAGGCUGGCUGGGGCCAAAGCCUAACUAGUGACUGCUUGGAAGGAAGCACCAGUGGGGUCUAGAGCCUAAUUAGACACUCCUAAGUGUCAGAGCUGCCUUGGAGCAAGUAGGCCUGGUAUGGAAUGUUACUUUUGUUCCUCAACUAAUUUGGAUCCUCUCUCUUUUGGGACCUGCAGAUGAGUCAGCUGGGGAAGAGGCUGUGAGAAAUGCUUAGUUCCAGGCCAUGGGCAGAAGUAGCUUGGGGAUCCAGCAGAGGGUAUGGACAAACAGACCUCAGCUGCUUCAUACAGCAUUCCUGGGCUAGAAUCCAGAGAACAGGAUGGCUCUGGGUUCCUCUCCUUGCCCAUCUAGGGUGGGGAUGUGAAAACCCUGGUGCCAAGGGCUGACAGGCCCAAAAGCCUGAAGUUGGGUUGAACCUCUUGUGUGAUGGUGCCAGGUCACUGGCUAGUUGGACUCGGAUUUCCCUGGAAGGGGCAGGACUAAGUGACUGGGGCUGGAGGGCCAAGUCACAGGAAGAGGCACAUCACUGCAAGUUUAGAGUGGCUGUUGGCAGAGGGCACCAAAGAAGGGAAGCUGCUGCUGUGUCCAGACAUGAGGGGGUGUGCCUGUGCUGAACCAUUGCCUUAUGGUUCAAAGGCAAAGGAAGAUUCUGUGGCAAAGUCAGUGGCCAUGGAAUACAUAGAGUUGUCUAAUAACUUCCAAUAUGCCUCCAAAAUGCAUGUCCUCUUCAUGAAGGAAAAAGUAUGAGUCCAAACUCAAAAGGCUUACUAAUUGCUGUAAGUAGAUAUUGAUACUUUCUGGAACUGAGUAAUCAUUACUGCCAUGUCUUUCUAAAUGGUAGGAUUUAAUUGUGGCAUACUAGCACUGUUUGUAACCCCGUCUUCCCAGGAAAUCAAGGAUAUGGACCAUGGCUUGAAUGUACCUGUAUUAAUAGCUUAUCUAUAUAGCAGUUUUCAUCCAGGCAAACAAACCUUAGAUGCGAGUUACAAAACAUCCAUGCCAUUUGACCUGAAACUCAAUAUUGAAUUUAGAAAGUGCCUGACUUAUUUUGUUACAAUAUUUAAAAUGCAUUAAUAUUUUAGUUACCAAGGAUGACUAUCUUAGUUUGCAGGGAUACAACUUAAUACCCCUCUAACAAAACUUCUGUAAACCUGAGUGCUUUAAUGGGCAAAUGGCAUUUGCUUGUUAAGGAUCAAAGUUCAAAUCCAAAUUGAUGUUUAUGGCCUUGAAUCAGUGUGUAAUGGACAGGUGUUCACGUUGUAAACCUGUAACACAGGCCACUAGCUAAGCUAACUCUACUAGUGUUGGGGUUGAGGUCAUUAGCAGUGCAGUAUUUGGGGAUGCUGCUGGUCCUUCUGACCAAGAGGAAGUGCAAAGUAAUAGUAGCUGUCUGCUGUGGAGGAGUAUAUAAGAGGAGAAUGGUGACCUCAUGAUGAAUGAGUGAAGAAAUGGAUAAGGAUUCAGGUCAGGACAAGUGAUCCAUACUCCUAUACCUUAUCAGGGAGACCAUUGUGGGGAUGGGGCAAAGGGGAAGCAAUAAACGCUUCACAGUAAGAUGCAGGAAUCAGAUCAAGGUAAAGCAGGAGUGAGCAAUUUUGCCUUCAUGGCUUCAGAGUAUGAGUGAAGAAAUGACCAUUUGAUGUACAAGUUUAUCCCCUCAGACAAACUUAUGAAUGGCAAUCUAUGUAGGAACCAUGCAAAGGUUUUGGAAUGUUUCAAGUUUUUAAAAAAAACUAAUUUGAAGAGGGCUGACAUGAAAUGGAUUAAGCUACUGUAACUUGGCAAAUCGUGUGAAUGAGAUGACCUGGUAUCUAUAAAGUGGUUUACUAUAUUUCUGAGUCUGAAUUAAAAAAAUAAAGACCUAAUAUGCUCA